rfam:Candidatus Buchananbacteria bacterium RIFCSPHIGHO2_01_FTLL_44_11 rifcsphigho2_01_scaffold_1560, whole genome shotgun sequence.
UCCCGUGCUUUUAGCGAGAGGGUCACACCUGAUCCCAUCCCGAACUCAGUAGUUAAGCCUCUCAGCGCCAAUGAUACUCUUUCAGGGGAAAGUAGGUCAGCGCGGGAA